rfam:Aspergillus wentii DTO 134E9 unplaced genomic scaffold ASPWEscaffold_3, whole genome shotgun sequence.
GACACUUUGGCCGAGUGGUCUAAGGCGCAGGCCUGCUAUUUGGUCCUCCUUUGAGGUUACCAGUUCAGCCUGUAUCUUCGGAUGCGUGUGUUCGAAUCACACAGGUGUCG